AUAUGAUUAAAUUUUUAGUUUAAUGAAAAAAUUGAACCAAUUGAAAGGAGAGAAAUGUAAUUAUGGUUUGUAGAGAGUAUCUCCUAGUUUCUCACUUGAGAAACUUCUUACACUCUCUCUUCUCAUUUCAUUAUUUUUAUUAUUUUAAUAGUGAGAAACUCUCUUGACAGACUACCAAUGGAGAUGGUCUCAAUGUCUUUUUGCAAAAAUACCCCAUUCCAUUGUCCAUUUUUAAAAAUACUCAUUUUCAUAAACAAAUGACUAAAUUACUUUUCAUCUAAUGAGAACAUAAAAUUAUAAAUUGAAAUUUUCCCGCCAAAACAUUUUUGGCUCCAAUUUUUUU
rnacentral:sRNA from 1 species